UACGGGGGGGGGCAAGCGUUGUUCGGAAUUACUGGGCGUAAAGGGCCCGUAGGUGGCCAACUAAGUCAGACGUGAAAUCCCUCGGCUUAACCGGGGAACUGCGUCUGAUACUGGAUGGCUUGAGAUUGGGAGAGGGAUGCGGAAUUCCAGGUGUAGCGGUGAAAUGCGUAGAUAUCGGGAGGAACACCAGUGGCGAAGGCGACUUCCUGGCCCGUUCUUGACGCUGAGGCGCGAAAGCUAGGGGAGCAAACGGG
rnacentral:rRNA from 1 species